rnacentral:rRNA from 1 species
AGUGAACGCUGGCGGUAGGCCUAACACAUGCAAGUCGAACGCCAGCACAGUAAGAGCUUGCUCUUACGGGUGGCGAGUGGCGGACGGGUGAGGAAUACAUCGGAAUCUACUUUUUCGUGGGGGAUAACGUAGGGAAACUUACGCUAAUACCGCAUACGACCUACGGGUGAAAGCAGGGGUUCUUCGGACCUUGCGCGAUUCAAUGAGCCGAUGUCGGAUUAGUUAGUUGGCGGGGUAAAGGCCCACCAAGGCGACGUUCCGUGGCUGGUCCGAGAGGAUAAUCGCCCACACGGAACCUGGAAACGGGUCAAACCUCCAACGGGAGGCAGCAGUGGGAAUUAUGGGAAAUGGGGGAAAAGCCGGAGGCAGCCAGACCGCGUAGGUAAAGAGGGCCUCCGGGUGGUAAAGCCCUUUUGUUGGGAAAGAAAAGCAGCAGAGUAAUACCCCGCUGUUCUGACGGUACCCAAAGAAUAAGCACCGGCUAACUUCGU